CCUACAGAGCUUAUUGGCAUUCUGUCCACCUCCACUAUUUUUUGACCCAAAAAAAAGAAGAAAUCUAUUAUGGUAGAGGUGGGCAUACUGCCAACAGAGAUCUGUGGG
rnacentral:pre_miRNA from 1 species